rnacentral:rRNA from 1 species
AUACGUAGGUGGCAAGCGUUAUCCGGAAUUAUUGGGCGUAAAGAGGGAGCAGGCGGCAGCAAGGGUCUGUGGUGAAAGCCUGAAGCUUAACUUCAGUAAGCCAUAGAAACCAGGCAGCUAGAGUGCAGGAGAGGAUCGUGGAAUUCCAUGUGUAGCGGUGAAAUGCGUAGAUAUAUGGAGGAACACCAGUGGCGAAGGCGACGGUCUGGCCUGCAACUGGCCCUCAGGCCCGAAAGGGUGGGGAGCAAAUAGGAUUAGAUACCCUAGUAGUCCACGCCGUAAACGAUGAGUACUAAGUGUUGGAUGUCAAAGUUCAGUGCUGCAGUUAACGCAAUAAGUACUCCGCCUGAGUAGUACGUUCGCAAGAAUGAAACUCAAAUGAAUUGGCGGGG